GUGCCAAAAAGACUAAAAACAUUUGUUAAAAGGCCAAAAACGGUCUUUAGUCUUGUGCAGUCCAUAAAAACAUAAAAAACAUUUUCAGACAGACUGCAGAAAGGACACUCGUUUAAAACACCCUGAUUAAUAACCGAUAAAAACGAGUUUGUAGCGAUGGCUCCAUGUAAAAUUCUCCAUUGGAGAUCACCGGUUCGCUUCUUAUUUGGAAGCUUGUUUAAAGUCCUCCAUGGGGGUGCUCUACCAGCAAGUUUAUCCGUCCAUACACAGACUGUGCGGUUCUCGAGGUGUCUUUGAGUCAUUACAGACUCCAUAAACAGUUUUCUGGUCCAUAGUGAAUAAAACCACCAAAAGAAGAAGAAGCAGUAAUCCCUCCCUGGAUCAAACCUGAAACUACAGUAGAUUUGAUAUGGUUAGAAAGGAAAAAAGAAGGUAAUAUUAAUCAUAAACUGAUACAGGAAUAUGUUAAUAGUUUUUAUGGCUAUAUUCAAAUAUAUAAAGAUGCAUCUAAAAGUGUGAGUGAUGGGUUAGGUAUUGCAUUUUAUGUUCCAGAUUUCAAUAUCAAAGUAAAUAAGAGAAUAAAUAAUGAAUUGGCUACUAGAACAUAUAGUGAUGUAUUGUAAGAAAUAUGAAGAAGAAAGAAGGAAUUUGGUUAGAGGUGUUAAUAAGGAGAAACUUAAAUUUUGAUAUCGUAGAUAUUCGUAAAAAAGUAAAAAAAUAAAUGUUAUCAAUAUUUAUUUAAAUAUUUAAUAACAGGAAUAAUUAGAAAGAUUUACCAUCUGUAAAUUAAUAUUAUAGAUAUAGACAUAUAGAUACAUACAUAUAAGUAUAUUUGGCAAUAGGGCCAUUUUGCCCCAAACUCCUCACCAGUUGGUGGCGGUAAUGCACACCGGAAAGCUGUUUGCCAACCGCCAAUAAACACAAGAAGAAGAAGAAGAAGAAGAAGAAGAAACCGGAAGCCGACGGCCGUUAUAAGGUGAAGGACUACACCUCUCGUUUCAUUCUCUACAGCGACAACAUUGUGAGCAUUAAGGAUUAUCCAGCCUUGAGCAUAAGAAGAAUCAGCAUUUCUGAAGGUUCUUCAAAGAACGUGGAACAAUUUUAAAGAUGCCUCGCGGCAAAGGUUUUCGCCGUACACAAGCCUUUAAAAGGAAGAUGGAAGACCCCAAACCACUGGAUGUCGAAAUCAAAGUUCAAGAAAGCACGUUUGUGGCUUGUCAAGGAACAGGAACGCGGCAUAGAAGUAGACCUUGGCCGACCUCUUCUGCCAACAAUACCUGCAAACUGGUCAUUCCACCAGAAUCAAAAGACAAGAAAUUUGUCUUUCUUAUCGGAGACUCUCAUCUAAGGGCUAUUGUGGAUGGAUUUGCUCCUAUUAAAGAAGAGAGUCUUUAUUUUGGUUUCUUGGCUGUCCCUGGAGGAGCAGCGUUGGACCUGAGAACCGAAAUCUUGAAUGCUGUGAUACCACGAAUACCUGAUUUAGUCUGUUUGUUAGCUCCAAGCAACACUUUGAAGAGAAGCACCGUUGUCAGUGACGCUGGGAAACAGUUUAAAAAGCUCCUAACAACUGUUUGCACACUUUUUCCGAAGGUAAGCUGUUGUGUUGGUUUAUGAUACAAAUUUGUAAGCAGUAAAUUAGUAACAAAAAAUACAAGUAUAUGUAGCACCAUAAAUGCAUGUAAGUAAAACAAUUGCUUGACAUUUUUAAU